CCCUUAGAUGUUCUGGGCCGCACGCGCGCUACACUGAUGCAUUCAACGAGUCUAAAACCUGCUCUGAUAGGGGUGGGUAAUCUUUUGAAUGUGCAUCGUGAUUGGGAUAGAUGAUUGCAAUUUUUCAUCUUCAACGAGGAAUGCCUAGUAAACGCAAGUCAUCAGCUUGCAUUGAUUACGUCCCUGCCCUUUGUACACACCGCCCGUCGCUCCUACCGAUUGAAUGAUCCGAUGAAUAUCAUGGAUUGAGGAUGCAAGCAGGUUAGCCUAUCUUCAUCUUCGAGAAGUGAAGUAAAUCUUAUCAUUUAGAGGAAGGAGAAGUCGUAACA
rnacentral:rRNA from 1 species